rnacentral:misc_RNA from 1 species
UCUCCGUUGGUGAACCAGCGGAGGGAUCAUUACCGAGUGCAAACUCAUAACCCUUUGUGAACCUAUAUCUGUUGCUUCGGCGGCUCGCUCUCGGGCGAGCCCGCCGGUAAUAUCAGUAUCUCUGUUUGAACCCGACGAUACUUCUGAGUGUUCUUAGCGAACAGUUAAAACUUUUAACAACGGAUCUCUUGGUUCCG